rnacentral:rRNA from 1 species
AACGAACGCUGGCGGCAGGCUUAACACAUGCAAGUCGAGCGCACUCUUUUAGAGUGAGCGGCAGACGGGUGAGUAACGCGUGGGAAUCUACCCAGAUCUACGGAAUAACACAGAGAAAUUUGUGCUAAUACCGUAUACGCCCUACGGGGGAAAGAUUUAUCGGAUUUGGAUGAGCCCGCGUUGGAUUAGCUAGUUGGUGAGGUAACGGCUCACCAAGGCAACGAUGCAUAGCCGACCUGAGAGGGUGAUCGGCCACAUUGGGACUGAGACACGGCCCAGACUCCUACGGGAGGCAGCAGUGGGGAAUAUUGGACAAUGGGGGCAACCCUGAUCCAGCCAUGCCGCGUGAGUGAUGAAGGCCUUAGGGUUGUAAAGCUCUUUCACCGGUGAAGAUAAUGACGGUAACCGGAGAAGAAGCCCCGGCUAACUUCGUGCCAGCAGCCGCAGUAACAC